UACGUAGGGGGCAAGCGUUGUCCGGAAUCAUUGGGCGUAAAGCGCGUGUAGGCGGCCCGGUAAGUCCGCUGUGAAAGUCCGGGGCUCAACCCCGGGAGGCGGGUGGAUACUGUCGGGCUAGAGUCCGGAAGAGGCGAGUGGAAUUUCUGGUGUAGCGGUGAAAUGCGCAGAUAUCAGAAGGAACACCAAUGGCGAAGGCAGCUCGCUGGGACGGUACUGACGCUGAGACGCGAAAGCGUGGGGAGCAAACAGG
rnacentral:rRNA from 1 species